GCGGCCCCAGAGAGGGCCGCUCGGGGUCCCUCAGUGUGCCUCUGAACAGAGCGCGAGCAGAAGGAGUGGAACCGGAACCAGGACAGAGUGGCGGGGGCCAGGUGGUGGUCUGCCCCAGCGAAAGUGCUUUCCAGCUGGGCACUGGCAGCAGCAGCAAGCCAAGCCUCUGGCAGAAAUGGGAGGAGAGGCCCCUCAUAGCCUUCAACUGAACAGACUACAGGUCCUACUGUAAUACUCUUUUAAAGCUGUGUGUGGAGCAGGACUACAGGUCCUACUGUAAUACUCUUAAAGCUGUGUGUGGAGCAGGACUACAGGUCCUACUGUAAUACUCUUUUAAAGCUGUGUGUGGAGCAGGACUACAGGUCCUACUGUAAUACUCUUUUAAAGCUGUGUGUGGAGCAGGACUACAGGUCCUACUGUAAUACUCUUUUAAAGCUGUGUGUGAGGCAGCUCGCCCUGUGUAACUGUGUGGCAGGCGUAUAGAUAACCUUUGCACUCACACUUUCCCCACAACUUAGUUUAGCUCUCAGCUUUAGAAUAAUUUUGUAGUUGUUGGCCAAAUAUUACGAUUCUUCUUCCUUCUUUAAAGAAGCAAAAUACUUGUGCCUUUUUUUGGCACAGAUACAGUGUUUUUGUGUGUAAUUUAUUUCCUCUGUGCCGUCUUUGUCUUUGCUGUCAAAUGUGUCUUGCACUAAUUUUCACUGUCAGAGGCAUCGAUAGGUGGAUUUUAGUUUUCAGGUUUUCACAUUUUUUGAGUUUCCUCUGUAAAUGAAUACAAUGCAUUCACAUGAUUUUGUUUUGAAAUAAUUUAUUUAAAAAAAAUAAAAAUUUGCACAGUAUGAAA